AGGAAGGUCGUUUAGGCCAUAUAGAUAGCGAUGGAGAGAUUAAGCCGAUACAAGAAAUCCGCGGCGAAUUGUGCUUAACGUAAAUACAAUCACCUGUUAACCAAACGGGUUAUCAGACGCCUAGUAUCAAACGUGCGAUCGCGACAACUUAAGGUAUCAGAUAAUCGUACACUCAGUUACGUGCUGUUGUUACGCGCGGCGACACGAUAGUGCGGUGAAACUUUCUCUGGUGAUCGGAAGAUGCCAGUGCUCGAACACGAAAUGGCCACGUCUCAUGAAAUGUGUUCCUCGAAGUAUACCCUCAAUAAUGAGUACAUGAUGCCGCAGUUGUGGGAGAAAAGUGCUCCGAGUCCGUUCACCACGUAUAACUUAUACAGGAGCCCGCCGGAUGGCGCUCAGCGAGUCAGUGCUGCCAUGUUUUACACAGAUAGUGAUAUGCAACUGGACACCAGUAGCAGUGAGGCAAGUCCGAGCAGUUCCACGCCUGUGUCCCAGCAGUGUGCCAUCUGCGGCGACCGAGCGACCGGCAAACAUUACGGAGCAUCUUCUUGUGAUGGCUGCAAAGGCUUCUUCCGUCGCAGCGUAAGGAAGAACCAUCUGUAUACGUGUCGAUUCAGCAGAAACUGUGUGGUUGAUAAAGAUAAGAGGAAUCAGUGCAGAUACUGUAGGCUAAGGAAAUGUUUUAAAGCGGGCAUGAAGAAGGAAGCUGUUCAGAACGAGAGGGAUCGUAUCAACAUCAGGAGGCCCUCGUACGAGGAGCCCACACAGACCAACGGACUGUCGGUGGUGUCUCUACUCAACGCUGAACUGCUCAGUAGGAAGGUUACUGAUGAGAGUAACAACGCGACCGACGCGGAGAUCAACAGCCGUAACCUGGCGAAGAUCAAUGACGUGUGUGACUCCAUCAAACAGCAGCUGCUCAUCCUGGUGGAGUGGGCCAAGUAUAUCCCCGCCUUCACGGAGCUCCACCUAGACGACCAGGUCGCGUUACUCCGGGAGCAUGCAGGUGAACACCUCCUUCUCGGGUGUGCAAGGCGGUCCCUUCAUCUCAAGGAUGUACUCCUGCUGGGUAACAACAGCAUCAUCACGAAACACCAGACCGAUCGCAGGAUGGAUGUAGACAUCAGUAUGAUCGGUAUCCGCGUGAUGGACGAAAUAGUGAAGCCAUUACGGGAUAUCGAUGUCGACGACACAGAGUUCGCGUGCCUCAAAGCAAUCGUCUUCUUCGAUCCCAAUGCCAAAGGUCUAUCACACCCGCAGAAGAUAAAACAGCUCCGCUACCAGAUCCAGAUCAACCUGGAGGACUACAUCAGCGACCGGCAGUACGAGGGCCGCGGCCGCUUCGGGGAGCUGCUGCUGUGUCUGCCGCCGCUGCAGAGCAUCACGUGGCAGAUGAUCGAGCAGAUCCAGUUCGCCAAGCUGUUCGGGGUGGCUCACAUCGACAGUCUGCUGCAGGAGAUGCUGCUCGGAGGCGCGACAAUAGAACCACCGCUACAAAACAGCCCGGGCCAGCAAGCAGUCGAGUCGUCAUCACCGAUGUCGUCAGAGUCAUCGCCGCCGCUGGUGCCGCAGCUGCCUGUCCCAGAACCAACCUAUCUUGAACCCUUCAAGUCAGAGCCCAUCUUAUAAACUAUAUUGCCCAACACAACCAAAUUUAGUUCCAAUAAAAAAAUGCAGGCAGAGAAAAAAAUUCUCAGACAAAAGUAUAUACAUUACAUUAAUUAAGUUUUAUUGCAUGUAUAUGUCUCCAGUUAUUAAUCAAAUUCCUUGCAUGUGCCUUGUCUAUUAUAGAAUUUGCAAUUAUUGUUAUUAAACCAAAGUAAUAAAUUUAUUUAAUGUUGAACACUUUUGGACCAGAUUUUACAUUGUUAUUUAUGUAUUAAUUUUUAUAGAUCUCGAUUGAAUAAAGCUAUUAUCAACUAUUAUGAACACUUUACAAAUUAUUUUUAUUAUACAUAUAUAGGUAUACGAAUUUAUAUUGUUGUUUGGACCUGUUAAUAUAUUAUUAGUGAAGAAGAUAUUGAUUAAUGAAACGUAUUUCGGUCUGGAUAGAUAAUAUCUCAAUGGUUCACAGUGAACUAAAUAUUGUAAGAACAAUUAAUGUUCAAUAUAACUUUAUUUUAAUAAUUAUUUACCGCAUGAAUUAGGUGACGGUUGAGUUUAGAGCGAUUAUUUUCGCGUAUUCUUGCGUUUUUAUAUAAUUUUGUACCUAGCGAUAGGUGAAUAGUUAGACUGAGAUGUUUUGUAUAGAUAUAUCAUGAAAUGCUCAAUUCUUACGUGGACGCGGUACCCGAUAGCUUGGUGAUAGUAAUACUAUGUGUAAUGUAUUAGAGAUAUUAUUGUACCUUGAGUAGAUGUAAUACAGGUGCCUUAUUUUCCUAUGAAGGUGUAUUGUUAAUGUAUAUACCGUUAAGAACUUAGUAUUUUCAGAAAUUAAAUAAUCUGUUACGCAA